UCUUUUUGGGCGACGUUGUUAAUGAUUUCGAGCACUUUCUUUGUACUUGCAAUCAGCCCAAAAAUGCGAGAUUGACAGGGUCACAUUUCAAUCAUGUCCAAAACCCAGACUCGAUUUCAAUUAGUUUGACUCAGAGGAGAGAGAUGGAGAGAGAGAGAGAGAGAGUCUUGACAUUUAAAGAGCAAGUUUCCCCUAUCUGAUUCCAAGAGCUGCAGAGCCCAUCUCUGGGAGCAUCCCAAUUCCCAACUCGUGUUUUCUCAGAGGUUUGUUUUCUGUACAAAUUCAUCUUUUAUAUCUUUCUUAAAAAUUUAGUUGUACAUUUUUGGCUUUGGAAAAUGCAUGAAUUGGAAACUACAUUGUCCUCCCCGCAUGGAUUAAUAGGAUUAUGAUCAUCUACAUGUACUUUGUAUGUUGGUAUUGUCCUAAACUGAUCAUGUUUUAGAGUGUAGGUUUUAGCGUUUAAGAAUUUAGCUUGGAGGGGGAGGGGGAGAAUUCUAAAUUAUAACAAUAAUUCGGGGAAGGGUGGAGUUUCUAACUCAGAACGCAUGGGUGGAAACCCAACACCUUAUCCACUUGGAUAUUGGACCACAUGCUAUAACGUUCCAGACCAAACAUUCUCCCAUCACUGUUAAUUAAUUGGAUCUUCAAGGAACGAGUAGAGUACAAAAAUGAAAGUUUGAUUCGAGUGUCCCUCGAAAUUGGGAUAAUAAAAAAAGUCUGUUGCUUUGCUCAUUAGGAACAAAAUAUUUUGUUUGUGCGCUUCAACUAUAAUGUCGAGUGGGUGUAGAGGGUCGAUAGAUAGAUGGCCUUAGAGUUGGCUUAUGUAGUUACAAAAUUACGGUUGGGAUUAUUUGAGUUGGUAAGUGUUUUUGUUCUACUGUUUUUAGAUUUCUUUAUUUGAAUAGUCUUAUUAUCUGUUUUUUCGGUUGCUCUAUCUGCAUUUGAGCUUCAAUUUGAACUCCAAAUUGUUCUGUACUGUUUCUUCAUUGUUUAUGCACAAUUAUUUCUUCAAAAUACCUCCAUUUAUUUACUAUAUUUGUAUCAAAUGAUGGAAGAACCUAGCCAAGGAUCAAAGACAUAGUACAUAAACAAAGAAGCUAGAUCAGAAGGAAUCAAUUGAUGUGACACAAAAGGAAGACAGAAGAAAAGUGCCAAUGACUAAAAACAGUGAAUAUGCCCAGUUCAAGUGCGCUAUGGUUGGAUUUGGUGAGAAAAAGGCUGAGUUGAAGAACAACUUUGAACAAAAGCCACUUGUCUUGAAGAAGCUUUAUAGCACACCAUGUGGAGCACUGAUAAAGGCGUAUCAAGAAGGGAAAAUGACGGUAAGAAAGUCAAAUUUGGAUGUCAAAGAAGUUUGCAAUUGUUAUGACACAACAAAGAAAAAGUUCAAGUUUCAAAAUGGAUAUAGUCAUAUCACGACUGAAGAUGUGGUGCGGAUUUAUGGGAUACCGAACAAAGGAACAGAAGCACCAAAAACAACAAAUUCAAGAAAGGGAAAACCAGGUGUUUCUCGAUUAACAGACAAGUUCUUCAGUGCAACGGCAAGACCCGACAAGAGGGAUCUCUCUAAUGCAAUUGAACUUGCAUUUGAAGAUGAUUCAGAGAGAGGGCAAGAUGAUGCAGCAUGUUUAAUAGUGUUGUACUUACUUAUCACUUUAUUGCUUGCAAAUUCUGGAAACUACCUGCCAUGGAGUUACGUCCAAGCUUGUGAGAGUGUAGAACAGAUAGAGACAUAUAAUUGGGCAAGAGAGAUAAAAGAAUACCUUCAAAAUGGAAUCCACAAAGAUCAAGUCAAAACUGAGGAGACGGGGAAACAAUCUGCAAUAAGUGGAUGCGUCAUGACUCUGCUGUAUUGGUUGUGCAAUCGAGGAAAUAUGAUCAAACCGAUUGAAGGAAGGGAGAAAAGUGAACCCACUGCAGUGAGAUGGGACCUCCACAUGCUCCAUAAACACUUACAAAAGAUAAAAAAUAUUCAAAUCAAGAUGGACAAUGCAAUAGAGGAGGAAGAUUCAAACCUCAUUCAAGAAAAAAAGGAAAACUAAUGAAAAGAGCUUGAAAACUUUGAGUUUUAACGAUAAGGACACAAUAAAGGGAAAAGUAAAUAGUACCAUGAUUGACUUUUUAGUGUAAAAAUAUGGGUUUUCGUUAAAAUGAACAGUACCAGGAGCUUUUCGUUAAAGUUCCCAAGAAAAAACUGAUAACAGUGACUUUGUGAAUCCUCCAACUAAUUCAAAUACUCAAAAAAAGAAAGCUAGAAAAGCCCUGUCUUUCCCCUUUUGGAUUCCAUCAAGAGCCAGAGACCCCAUAUUUGGGAGCAUUCCAAUUCCCAGCUUUGAUGACAUUGAAUCCCUGCUCGUAUUCUCAGAGUCACAAUUGCGAAUCCUCCACAACAAGGCCAAGGCUGGACGACAUGUGUGAAGAAAUAACUGAAGGAUUUCCCCGUAUGGACAAGAGAAAGAUAGUGAAAAGGGCCAGGAGUACAGAGGAUGGACUGGAGGCCUUGGCCAAAGUUGCUGCAGUGGCAAAAGAGAGGGCCGAGGCUACCAUCACCACCUCAGACUCAAUUAUAGCACAAGAAGCCCUCAAAGGGGAUGUGAAUGGCAGAUGGCAUCUGACUUCUGUGGCCCCUCCAACUGAACAACCUAACCUUAUCGACAUCAAAUCCGAACUAUCCGAUAAUGACUUAGUUGAUUUUCGAGGCUUGGCAAUGGUUCCAAGGCAUCAUGCUUCAUUGCUUGAGAGGGCAUGCAUAUCCACAUUUGGCCAUGUACUCAAAGAGGUCCUUGAGAUGGCGUGAGUUUUCUUAUAAGACGUUAGGGGAGCUACUGUUUUUCCUCACUUCGACAAAGCGGAAAGAAACGACACAUAAGGCAUGGGAGCAUCUCCAAACGCUCUGGGAGGAUACCAAAGGCUUGGGGUUUGAUUUAUCUUGGUUAGCUCCUGUUAUGGAAUCUGAUCUAAGUUCAAGUUCUGAAACUGAGAAUACUUGCUUGUUGGAAGCACAGAAGAAGGUUGUGAAGGAGCACACCAUCAAGCUACAUUGCCAACUGGCAACACUUACAAUGCAAUUGACCGAAGCUGAGAAAGAGCUCGCUGAUCUGCGGAUGCUACUUAAACACGCUAAGAAAAAGCUGCUGUCCAAUGAGGAAUUUCUAUAUACAGACUUGUGAAUGUGUACACAUGAGAAGAAUAGCUGAUUUAGAGCUUAGAGUCACCGCGACAAUAACGCUGUUUUGACAAGCUCAACGCAAAAAUUAGCGGGAGGUGAAAGGAGGCUCGAACAGAGGAGAAUCGCAAUGGAGGGGUCCUGUACACUGCUACGACGGAGGGGGACGAAGCUCGCCAAACUCUCAGAGAACUCAUCAUCUACCCUCUCCUUUAUUUCCGUCAAGCCCAAAAGCUAGGUCUCAAAGUAAACACCUUAAACCCCUCCCGGCACCGAAAAGCUUGGUACGAGCAGUGGUUAGGGAAUGUGGUAGCACAUUUAAUUGUCAUUAGUCCACAUUCUGUCCACAAAGCACAUGCCGGAGAAAGUCAGAGGCUUCCUUGUAUACAUUGUCAGGCAAGCCAUAUGUUAUCUUUAUAGAUGAAAUAGAUGCACUCUGUCCUCGCAGUGAUUCUAGGUAACAACCAGUGGUGCAAGAGCGGACUCUAAUGAACUUUGGGCAUGCCCGGCUUAACAUGGUUAAGUUAUGUUUGAAUUGCAGAAGAGAGCAAGAUGUGGUUGUUGCAUCCACUAACAAAAAAAACUAGGCAUAUAGUGUAUAUAUUCCAAGACUCUUGAUAACAAAUGCGUAAGCAAAUUCAUAGAUAGCUCAAUUUUCCAAUUCACUGUUUCUUCCGUAUUAGUCUGUAAUUUGUGUUUGGCUACUUAGAAAAUGUGAAUGAAUGAAGAUUUGGAAUUAGAAUGUCGAUAGUGUCUGUAUGACGAUUAUAAGUGCAAUGCAUUUUAGUUAUCUAGUAAAAUUUUCAAAGUAUAUUCUGCAAUUUUUAGAUGCCAUGGUUGAGGUAUUGGUGGAAUGCUCACCCAUCGGAAAUUAAAUGACUAAGUUACUUUUGUCUGCAGGUUUAACGUGAGCUCCAUUUGUGAAGGUAGAUCCAAACCUAAAUGUAGUUUGGACUGCAUGUCUAAUCUGAUAAGCUUCUGUUUUAUUUAUUAGUUUUUCAAAGGUAUGUUUGGAAUCAAUUUGGUUGUACCGUGUAAUCAGGUUGUGUUUACAGUUUUGAAUUUUUCAAUUGCUGCUUGUAAAUAGGGAUUUCAAAAUCAUGAUGUAUUCUGAAGUUGGUUAUAAAUACAUAGCACCCUGUGUUGUUGAGGGUGUGCAAUACAGUGAAAA